CGGAUUUGAUGGGCUGAAGGCUUCAUUUCUAGGCUCCUUGAGCCUAUGUCUGAUGGAGUACAGAGUCUAAUGGUUCUGGCAAAACGUUAAUUGGACGUCAGUAAGCAGCAUCCUGAGGUGUAGGUUCUCGGAGUUACACAGCACAGGAACACUUUUCGACCCAACACAUCCGUGAUGACCAAAGCAUUUUCCUGAAUACAGGAUUGGUGCCAGAGGACUGGAGGUCUUCAAUCCCCAUACGAUUCUUCAGAAAGAGAGGAAAGGCUAAGCCAAGGAAAUCCAGGCUAGAUAUUCGACUGAAAAGUCACAAGUCUGCAGAUAUUUGAAGACUGAACUGAAAACAGAAAAUGAUAGAAUAGCUCAACAGGUCAGACAGCAUCUGUGAAAAGAGAAAUAGAGUUAAUGAAACUUGCAUUUCUUUACACAAACAGCUUUUUGAGCUCCUCUCCCCCAACAUUCAGCAUUUCCUGGUUUAAGUUUAACUUUGGUGCUCUGCACAUUAUUGGAUUCAAUUUUGAGCAGCACAAACGUUUAUUUUGCAAGAUACAGGAUAACAAGGAACAGACUUAGAAUGAGAGAAGAAACUUCUGCUUCGUCCUUUCUCGUCCUGAAGAAGAGUCUCGGCCCGAAGCUUCAUUUCUCUCCAUAGAUCCAUAGAUUUCUCCAGCAUUUAGAGUUUUUAAAAAAACUUUAAAGAUUAGCUCAUUUAUCACAUUUACAUCAAAACAUACAGUGAAAUGUGUCACUUGCAUCAGGGAUGUGCUGGGGCCACCAUAUUACAUGUGUGUUGCUCGAGGUUUCCAGCAUCUGCAAAAUCUCUUGUUCCUCUAAACAUAAAGGCUUUCCCAUCUGGGUUUUCCACACCUUCCUGAUCAAAGUCCAUAAGAGCAUAAGGCA